CCUUGACUUGGACAGCCCAGUGGGUAGGGAGGGCUGUGUACCAACAGCAGGAAACCAGGGAGAAGAAGAUGUUGACUUUGAGAUGCCAAGCAGAGAAGGGAAGAGCCUUCUGGGCUGGAGACGUGGGAUGCCUCGGAAGGGAGGACCUUGAGUUAGCAGCAGAUGGGACAGACGCAGGAGACAGGGCAUACCGUGGCAGGAGUGCAGUGAGCAAGAGGCAGGUCACAGUCUUGACCCAGAAACCCGCAAAGGAAGGCAGGAUGGCCAACACCUGCCCAUGGGCCUGGGUUGCAGCCCAGGCGGAGGUGGAGGGGUUGCUCAGGGAAGAGGGGAGGGGAAGGGAGUGCGUGACCUCAAAACGGGAAGGCUUGGGGGUCCGAGUCGAGAGAGGGGACAGGGUGGGGACCAUGUGGGACUCUUGAGCACUGACCCUUCACCCUAGGCAGUGGUGGGAUGGGCGGGCAGGAGGCGGCGGCUGCGAGGCUGAUACAGGGCUGCAUGGAGCUGUCAUCGUGCCUCUUGGAGGAUGGUGGGAGAGGUGCCAGGGGCGGCUGAACGCCUCACCGAGCAUGUGGGCAACCCGGUUGUGGGCACUUUGGAUGCUUUCACCAUUAGACCCAGAGGCUUUCCUGAAUGCGCCUGGGCUGGAAAAUGAUGGCAGAGGCUGCUGGGCCUUGGAAGAGAGAGGGUCCUAGCUUCUAAUUCCUGGGUCAGCUAAGGCCAACCCCAGUGUCCAGGUGUCGUCCAAGUUAUGCCUGGGAGGGAAGAAAGUAGAGGGGCAAAUGCUUUCUUUCCCUAUUUUCCUUAAGCCUUCGAUGCCAGUGCUGGUGGCUGCCUGGGACAGGGGCCAGGAGGAAACACACCUGCAUUAGGGAAGCCCUCAGCCAGCUUUUCCCUGGGACGUGCCUGUGCCUGGCUGAAGCUUUCUGAGUUCAUGCUGGGGAAAUGGAACAGUUACCUUCCAGCCAGUAGAGGCACCCCUAGCUCUUGGGAUGUUUGUAUCCAACUCCGGGCAAUGUGGGGCUACAAAGGCCCCUGGUUUCCACACCCUGGGGACCGGGGGAAGACUGGUGCUCCUGCGGUGGGUGUCCACAGUGAGGUCAGGCCCCCAUAGCAGGUGCAUUCUCGCCCUCAGCAGGCAAGCAAGCAGGCGUCAGCUCCAGCACUGGGGUCCGGCUUCGAAGUCUGUGUCUCUGCCUGUCUGUACUCAUGCCUGACCUGCUGGCGCUCCCUGUCCACUGCACUCCUCCCGCCUCAUUUUUAUGUGAUUUUGCACAGUGCCUGGCAAACAUUGGACGUUCAAUAAACAUUGUAUGAAUGAAAGAAA